AGUCAAUCUACCCUCGAGUCUGGGACAACCUCGGGAAACUGAGGCUAAUCCCGGAUAGGUGAUGGACGCUGGAAUGCCCCAUCACUUAAAGCUCCGGCGCUCGAGGAUGGGACUGCGGUCUAUCAGGCUGUUGGUGGUGUAACGGACCACCAAACCUACGACGGGUAUGGGCAAUGGGAGUUGGAGCCCAGAGAUGGGGACUGAGACAAGGCCCCAGGCCCUACGGGGCGCAGCAGGCGCGAAAACUCCGCAAUGCGCGAAAGCGUGACGGGGGAACCCCAAGUGCCGUUGGUCUUUGAUCGACGGCUUUUCGGGAGUGUAAGGAGCUCCUGGAAUAAGGGCUGGGUAAGUCGGGUGCCAGCCGCCGCGGUAAUACCCGCAGCCCAAGUGGUGGUCGCGAUUAUUGGGCCUAAAGCACUCGUAGCCGGGCCGGUAAGUCCCUUGUGAAAUCGGGUCGCCUAACGAUUCGGCUUGCAAGGGAUACUGUCGGUCUUGGGACCGAAAUAGGUCGGAGGUACUUCGGGGGUAGCGGUGAAAUGCUGUAAUCCCCGGGGGACCACCAGUGGCGAAGGCGUCCGACCAGGGCGGAUCCGACGGUGAGGGGUGAAGGCUGGGGGAGCGAACGGGAUUAGAUACCCCGGUAG
rnacentral:rRNA from 1 species